UACAGAGGAUGCAAGCGUUAUCCGGAAUGAUUGGGCGUAAAGCGUCUGUAGGCGGGCCGUUAAGUGUCUUGUGAAAUCCCCCGGCUCAACCGGGGAAUUGCUGGGCAUACUGGCGGUCUUGAGCGAUCUAGGGGCAGAUGGAACAAGUGGUGGAGCGGUGAAAUGCGUAGAUAUCACUUGGAACGCCAAAGGUGAAGACAGUCUGCUGGGGAUCUGCUGACGCUGAGACACGAAAGCCAGGGGAGCGAACGGG
rnacentral:rRNA from 1 species